UACGUAGGGCGCAAGCGUUGUCCGGAUUCACUGGGCGUAAAGGGUGCGCAGGCGGACUGGCAAGUCAGGGGUGAAAUCUCACAGCUCAACUGUGAAACUGCCUUUGAUACUGCUGGUCUUGAGUCAGGGAGAGGUCGAUGGAAUUCCAGGUGUAGCGGUGAAAUGCGUAGAUAUCUGGAAGAACACCGGUGGCGAAGGCGGUCAACUGGCCCUGAACUGACGCUCAGGCACGAAAGCGUGGGGAUCAAACAGG
rnacentral:rRNA from 1 species